rnacentral:rRNA from 1 species
UGGGGAAUUUUGGACAAUGGGGGCAACCCUGAUCCAGCAAUGCCGCGUGAGUGAAGAAGGCCUUCGGGUUGUAAAGCUCUUUUGUCAGGGGAAGAAACGGUAGUAGCGAAUAACUAUUACUAAUGACGGUACCUGAAGAAUAAGCACCGGCUAACUACGUGCCAGCAGCCGCGGUAAUACGUAGGGUGCAAGCGUUAAUCGGAAUUACUGGGCGUAAAGCGUGCGCAGGCGGUUGUGUAAGUCAGAUGUGAAAUCCCCGGGCUCAACCUGGGAAUUGCAUUUGAGACUGCACGGCUAGAGUGUGUCAGAGGGGGGUAGAAUUCCACGUGUAGCAGUGAAAUGCGUAGAUAUGUGGAGGAAUACCGAUGGCGAAGGCAGCCCCCUGGGAUAACACUGACGCUCAUGCACGAAAGCGUGGGGAGCAAACAGGAUUAGAUACCCCCGUAGUCCCUGAGCGGGCUGGCAAGGCGCAU